CAUAUCAGGUUGAAACGCCGGUUCUCGUUCAACCACCGAAAUUAAGCAACGUAGAACGUGAUCACUACCUGGAUGGGUGGUCGCUUGCGAAUACCAGGUGCUGUAAG